GCCGAGGUGGCGGAAUUGGCAGACGCGCGAGACUCAAAAUCUCGUGGUACGUAAGUACCGUGUGGGUUCGACUCCCACCUUCGGCA
rnacentral:tRNA from 1 species